rnacentral:misc_RNA from 1 species
AAAAAAAACUCUCUCAAGGCAAGUUGUUAUCAGUCACGUUCAUUCUUUGCUUCCUCCUAUUAUAUCACGAGAUCCCCAUCUCAUCUCUCUCUCUGAAAAACUCCAUGUUUCUUUUGAACCUCUUCUUCUGUUUUCUUUCUCUCAUUCAUUUUUUCCUCUUUUAUGUGUCAAUUUAGUGCACAUUACUAGAAUUUAUUCUUCAACACAACGAACUUUCUUUAUCUUUGUUUCAACUUUUCUCACCAAAAAGAACACCAUCAUGUCACCUUACUCUCGAUCACCCUCUCAAGAACCCAUUAAUGAUUCCUUCACCAACCGGUUUCGUGACUCUGUCACUUGCAGCAACAACACCAGGAAGCUGGAUUUCAAAGAACUCGAUCUGGGUUCUCCAGUUUCACCAUUAACAAUUCGGGCAUCUCUCAAUAAUGCUACCACCUCCACCCCUUCAAGCAGCACUUCAAGCUCCUCUGGUUCUGUCUCCGCCACCAAAAUUACUAAUACCUCUAUCCAAUUCCCUAAAAAGCCUGAAAAUGUGGCACACAACUACUCCGGCGAGCUCUUCGGCUCAUCCGAGACCAGCCCAGCUCGUCAUAACACUCUGCGUUCCAACAAUUCGCAUCCGGGUCAUCGAAGAUCCAUCUCGGCUGGAGUCCCAUUGAUCUAUUCUGGUUCAAGUUUUGGCUCUCCUAGCAAUGUUAGCAGCUAUGGAAAUAAUAAUGGAACAACCUCGGUUUCUACAAGUUCAAGCUCAAAUUUGCUUCCCAGUGGCAACAUUUGUCCAUCGGGAAAAAUCUUGAAAACUGGGUUGACGUGUCGCGUUGCAAACAAGACAGACACUCUGGGUACAGGAACGGCAAACUAUGGACACGGCAGCAUUAUGCGUGGCGGAAGUGGUGGUCGUGGUGCUGGUGCUGCUACUAGUAAAUUGGGAACUGGAGGAGGUACUGGUGGUUGUGGUGAUCCAGAGGAGUUGAAGAAGGCAGGCAAUGAAAUGUAUAGAAGAGGGAAUUUUGUGGAAGCGCUGGGUUUGUAUGAUAAAGCAAUAUUGUUGGCACCGGAGAAUGCGGCUUACCGGAGUAAUAGGGCGGCGGCUCUGACGGCAGUAGGGAGGUUGAGCGAGGCGGUGAGGGAAUGUGAAGAGGCUGUGAGACUGGACCCUGGUUAUGCCAGGGCUCAUCAGAGGUUGGCCUCUCUUUAUCUUAGGUUAGGACAAGCUGAAAAUGCUCGGCACCAUUUACGUUUUCAAGGGCGACAAACAGGUCCAACAGAGUUACAGAAGCUACAGUCAUUGGAGAAGCAUAUAAAUCGUUGUGCAGAUGCACGGAAGAUUGGUGACUGGAAGGGUGCACUUAGGGAAACUGAUGCAGCCUUAACAAUUGGAGCUGACUCUUCUCCUCAGCUUAUUGCCUGUAAAGCGGAAGCCUUCUUGAAACUUCACCAACUUGAAGAUGCAGAUUCAACCAUAUUAAACAUUCCCAAGGGUGAAUAUUAUCCGUCACAAACAAAGUUAUUUGGUAUGGUUGCUGAAGCUUAUGUGCUUUACGUCCAAGCGCAGAUUGAAUUGGCACUGGGAAGAUUUGAGAAUGCAGUUUCAGUGGCUGAGAAGGCUGUGCUAAUUGAUUAUAGUAAUGUAGACAUUGCUUUGGUGUUAACCAAUGUGAAAAUGGCAGCAAGAGCUCGUAACCAUGGUAAUGAUCUUUUCAGUUCUGGAAAAUAUGCGGAAGCCAGCUCAGCUUAUGGGGAAGGCCUCAAAUAUGAUUCUUCCAACCCUGUUCUUUACUGCAAUCGAGCAGUUUGUUGGUCUAAACUUGGAUUGUGGGAAAAAUCUAUAGAGGACUGCACUCAAGCCCUUAGAAUACAACCAAACUACACCAAGGCCUUAUCUAGAAGGGCUGCCUCAAAUGUAAAGCUUGGACGAUGGGCAGAAGCUGUGAACGAUUAUGAGGUCUUGAGAAGGGAACUACCAGGGGACAAUGAGGUUCUGGAAUCUCUACACCAAGCACAGAUCAAAUUGAAGAAAUCUCUUGGUGAAGAUCAUAAUACAAAAUUUGGUGGUGAAGUAGAAGAAAUUUCCAGUAUUGAUAAGUUUAAAGCUGCAAUAUCAUCACCUGGUGAAUACUUGUAGCCUUUGACAUAUCUUUGUAUAGUAAUUACUUGGCCAUCAUUGAUCUUUCCACCUUUCCCGCUAUAUGUUUCUCUGAGCUAGAUCUUUGCAAUUUCCAGGUGUUAAGAUUGUUCAUUUUAAAGCAGCAUCUGAUGAACAAUCUGAAGAUAAAUCCCCAUUCAUAAAUACACUAUGUGUUCGGUAUCCAUCAAUUCAUUUUUUUAAGGUGGAUGUGGAAGAAAGCUUAGCAGUAGCAAAAGCUGAGAGCAUUAAAACUGUUCCAACAUUCAAGAUUUAUAAGAAUGGAGACAAGGUGAAGGAGAUAAUCCGUCCGAGCUAUCAGUUCCUAGAGGAUUGGGUGAGGAGUUACAGCCUAUAGAUAAGAGUAUAUUGUUAAUCACAUGUUCUCUUUCUGUGUUUGCUAUUAUUUUAUUUUAAUUCAUUCAUCUGGAAGAACCAAUGUUUUUCUCUUUGCUCCGUGAUUCAUAUUAGUAGUGAUCAGUUCUACCUAUGAUAUGAUAUAAUCAACUACAUAAUUGUUUCAUAGAAUUGUAUGACAGUGAAAACCAUUAGAUUGGAUAGAUUUGUAGAACCCUCAUUUUGUCCGGGAGGCUUUUUAAUGGAGAU